CCUACGGGCGGCAGCAGUAGGGAAUCUUCCACAAUGGGCGAAAGCCUGAUGGAGCAACGCCGCGUGAGUGAAGAAGGUUUUCGGAUCGUAAAACUCUGUUGGUAGAGAAGAAAGUGAGUGAGAGUAACUGUUCACGCUUUGACGGUAACUACUCAGAAAGCCACGGCUAACUACGUGCCAGCAGCCGCGGUAAUACGUAGGUGGCAAGCGUUAUCCGGAUUUAUUGGGCGUAAAGGGAGUGCAGGCGGUCAUUUAAGUCUGAUGUGAAAGCCUUCGGCUUAACCGGAGUAGUGCAUUGGAAACUGGGGAACUUGAGUGCAGAAGAGGAGAGUGGAACUCCAGGUGUAGCGGUGAAAUGCGUAGAUAUAUGGAAGAACACCAGUGGCGAAGGCGGCUCUCUGGUCUGUAACUGACGCUGAGGUUCGAAAGCGUGGGUAGCGAACAGGAUUAGAUACCCUUGUAGUC
rnacentral:rRNA from 1 species